rnacentral:rRNA from 1 species
GACGAACGCUGGCGGUGUGCUUAACACAUGCAAGUCGAACGGCAACGCCCUGCUUUUGUGGGGUGCUCGAGUGCCGAACGGGUGAGUGACACGUGAGUAACCUGCUCUUCACUUUGGGAUAACUUCAGGAAACUGGGGCUACUACCGUAUAGGAUCUCCUGCUGCAUGGUGGGGGUUGGAAAGUUUCGGCGGUUGGGGUUGGACUCGCGGCUUAUCAGUUUGUUGGUGGGGUAGUGGCUUACCAAGGCUUUGACGGGUAGCCGGCCUGAGAGGGUGACCGGCCACAAUGGGACUGAGAUAGGGACCAGACUCCUACGGGAGGCAGCAGUGGGGAAUAUUGCACAAUGGGCGGGAGCCUGAUGCAGCAACGCCGCGUGCGGGAUGACGGCCUUCGGGUUGUAAACCGCUUUAGCCUGUGACGAAGCGUGAGUGACGGUAAUGGGUAAAGAAGCACCGGCUAACUACGUG